UUCGCCAAGUAUGUUUUGCAACAUACCAGGAAUUUAUUUGGCCAGGUCAGUCAUACAAUUAGAAACAACCGAUCACUCAAAACAAAUUUUAACAUGAAUAUCCACCACAGUGACUCUUGUUCCUCACUGUCAUGGAAGGCGAAAUAAAGUUCAAGUCCUUCAUUUUGUCCUUCCUGGGUCGGGGUCUCGAGCCUUGCGUUGACGGGACGAUCUUGGCUCCCGUAGCUGGCGGAGUUCGGGCCCUCCGCGUCGAGGUGAUCAAGCUCCUGCAUCGGGGGAUGUCGGUUCCCCGCGCCAGGCGACCGGACCACACGUCGGGGCUGGUCGGAGCACACGUCGGAGCCCCCGACUCUGCCUCACCCGAGACUACGAGCCCCUGAUGGUAAAGUGGGAG